rnacentral:pre_miRNA from 1 species
AUGUUAAUGUAAUAUAUUAACAUCGGUUUUCCAGAAAACCGAUGUUAAUAUUUUACAUUAACAU